UGGGGAAUUUUGGACAAUGGGCGCAAGCCUGAUCCAGCCAUGCCUCGUGCAGGAUGAAGGCCUUCGGGUUGUAAACUGCUUUUGUACGGAACGAAAAGACUCCUUCUAAUAAAGGGGGUCCAUCACGGUACCGUAACAAUAAGCACCGGCUAACUACGUGCCAGCAGCCGCGGUAAUACGUAGGGUGCGAGCGUUAAUCGGAAUUACUGGGCGUAAAGCGUGCGCAGGCGGUUAUAUAAGACAGAUGUGAAAUCCCCGGGCUCAACCUGGGAACUGCAUUUGUGACGGUGUAGCUAGAGUACGGCAGAGGGGGAUGGAAUUCCGCGGGUAGCAGUGAAAUGCGUGGAUAUGCGGAGGAACACCGAUGGCGAAGGCGAUCCCCUGGACAUGUACUGAGGCGCAUGCACGAAAGCGUGGGGAGCAAAAA
rnacentral:rRNA from 1 species